rnacentral:rRNA from 1 species
GAAACUUAAAGGAAUUGACGGGGCCCGCACAAGCGGUGGAGUAUGUGGUUUAAUUCGAUGCAACGCGAAGAACCUUACCUGGUCUUGACAUCCCGGAGACCCUUAGGAAACUAGGGGGUGCUUCCAUCUGGAAGAAUCUGGAGACAGGUGCUGCAUGGCUGUCGUCAGCUCGUGUCGUGAGAUGUUGGGUUAAGUCCCGCAACGAGCGCAACCCUUGCCUUUAGUUGCCAGCAGUUCGGCUGGGCACUCUAAAGGGACUGCCGGUGUUAAACCGGAGGAAGGUGGGGAUGACGUCAAGUCCUCAUGGCCUUUAUGACCAGGGCUACACACGUACUACAAUGGCCGAUACAAAGGGCAGCGACACUGCGAGGUGAAGCCAAUCCCGUAAAAUCGGUCUCAGUCCGGAUUGGAGUCUGCAGCUCGACUCCAUGAAGUUGGAAUCGCUAGUAAUCGUGGAUCAGCAUGCCACGGUGAAUACGUUCCCGGGCCUU